AACGAACGCUGGCGGCAUGCCUAAUACAUGCAAGUCGAACGAGAUCUUCGGAUCUAGUGGCGCACGGGUGCGUAACGCGUGGGAAUCUGCCCUUGGGUUCGGAAUAACUUCUGGAAACGGAAGCUAAUACCGGAUGAUGACGUAAGUCCAAAGAUUUAUCGCCCAAGGAUGAGCCCGCGUAGGAUUAGCUAGUUGGUGGGGUAAAGGCCCACCAAGGCGACGAUCCUUAGCUGGUCUGAGAGGAUGAUCAGCCACACUGGGACUGAGACACGGCCCAGACUCCUACGGGAGGCAGCAGUAGGGAAUAUUGGACAAUGGGCGAAAGCCUGAUCCAGCAAUGCCGCGUGAGUGAUGAAGGCCUUAGGGUUGUAAAGCUCUUUUACCCGGGAUGAUAAUGACAGUGCCGGGAGAAUAAGCUCCGGCUAACUCCGUG
rnacentral:rRNA from 1 species